ensembl:misc_RNA Metazoa_SRP Metazoan signal recognition particle RNA
GCCGGGCACGGUGGCUCAUGCCUGUAAUCCCAGCAUUUUGGGAGGCCGAGGCAGGUGGAUCACUUGAGGUCAGGAGUUCGAGACCAGCCUGGCCAAUAAGGUGAAACCCUGUCUCUA